rnacentral:lncRNA from 1 species
GCAUAAAUUUAACCGAAAGCUAUUUAAAAUAAACUUCACAGAGUUUUGGAGAGCUUUUUCGGUCUAUCUUUCUCUUGUCAGUUGUCUGGAUCUUCUUCACUUUCUUGGUACCAACAGCAGCUUCUCACCUCCUCCGAGUAAAAUGGCCUUUCCAUAGGCCAUGCCAUUUAUGUGCAGCAAAUACGAACCUCCCUGGUUACCACAUCUUAAAGAAAAAUUAUCAGAGCAAUUGAGAUUCACAUAACAUAUGAAUGCAAAAUGGUUUGUCAUUUUUAAAUCUCAAAAUAGCAACAUAUAUUAAUAACCACCAGCACAAUAGUCAAGUAACAAAGCCAGGGAGAUGCAUCAUAACCAGCACAAUACCAACACCAAGUUUCAUAUGACAGUAAAAUUAAAUCCACAAUCUUAACAUGAUGUUCUAACAGAACUGAUUCCAAUUUAGUGAUAUUAAAUCCAUGAAGUUCCAAUCCCAAGAGAAAUCAAGCCCACACUAUUCUACAACCAUUAUUAGUUAUUCAAAUGUAUCAAUUCAUUAUCAUGCCUAUUUGAAUCAAGUGACUGUCUAAAAAAAAUAAAAUAAAAAUUCACAUUCAAUACACUAAAUCUCAUUCCUUUUCUACUCAACAAAGAAAUUUCCAUAAUUGAACAUUAGAAACAGAAAAGGAAAGCAUGUAAACUCAGAAUUAAAGGAAGAUUGGGACAGAAAUUCCAUACCUCUUCUUGAUUCAAAAAUGAAUGUGGAAAAAUUGACCCUUUUCAAUUUUGAAACUUGAGUGCCAAAGAAAUUAAGUGAUUAAUUUGUGUGCUAUAGUGAUUUGAAUGAUGGAAAAGUGAAGAAUUUCUUUGAGUUGUGUGGGUUCAGAGGUUGAAAACGCAUAGAGAGAGAGAGAUUUGUGGGAUGAGAGGUUGGGAAUUUUAAUGAACAAAGCAUGAGAGUGUUUUAUCGUAACAAAAAAAAAAUGAUCUUGAACAUUUCGCUUAGCGAGAAAAGAUUCGCUCAGCGAAUUCCACAGAAAAACAGGCAGAAAUUGCAAAAUGUUUUCAUUUGGUAAAAUGGUUCAGUUUUGACUCAUUAGCAACCUUUCAAAACAUGCCUAAAUAUUCUAAAAUGAUAAAUUGCAGAAUUAAAUAGUAAGG